CCAUGUCGGCCGCUGCGCUAAGAAGCCAGCUCAACGAGCACAUCAGCUACAUGUACGCCACGGGAAUUCUGGACGAGUACUACCAACAGCUGCAGUCGCCACAGGACGAGGGGUUCGUCCCCGAGGUCAUCAACAUCUUCCUCGGCGACGCCGACAGGAUGCUCAACGAUAUCACCAGCCUUCUGAACCUGCCCGUCGUCGACUUCGAAAUGGUGGGCGAACUGGUGCACCAGCUCAAGGCGUGCAGCUGCAGGUGAUUUAUUUCCCCACUGCAUCGAUUCUGAUGUGUUUGUCAUGGGCAUUACCCUUUGGUAGGUGUUGUUUGCGGCUUCGCACUACUGCGUAGCCAUAAGUAUAAGUGUCCAACGGCAAUGUUUAUGGCUCGACGAGAAAUUAAAACUUUGUCGUCUUGCGAGCCUUCCUGGUAUUAGCUAGUGAU